AAGGACAACGUUAUGGUUUUAGUCUACCACAGCUCUCCCGUUCAGCCCUGGGCAAGGUGGCCACCAGGCUCCCACAGGUACCUCCCGCUCAGAGCAGGAUGUGGAGUGAUACAUUCACCCUUCUUUGCAUUCCCUGUCUCCUGAAGGCCACAUUCAUCCACUUCCCCUUUUCUGGAGAGGGUGUCAGAUGCUGAACAUGUGAUCUGUCACCCCAAGGCUGGACGUGUCCUAGACCAUUCACCGAGUCCCUCGGUACGGAAAGGAAGAUUUAACACCUUGGCUACAGCUGGAUCAUCAGAGACCACCUGAGUCCCCAGUAAAUCUCCAUCCUGGGCUGCACCAAGAGGCUGGCAGAGGCACCAGAGCAGCUGCCUGGUGUGACAGGACAACAGGAAUUUUGCCGGCAGCUCCCUCAGACCUGCCCUGUGUCCCCAGUGGUCCCAUCCAGCUGGUGGCUUUGUCUCUCUGCCUUCUCCACCUCCAUCCAGACCUGCUGAGCUGCUUUUGGAGAAUUCUGAGUGGACUGACUCCCUGCCAGGCACCACCUCUGGAAUAGCUUCAUUUACCAAGCAUGGAAUUCGACUCCAUUGUCAUUUGUUCAUUUGUUCUUGUUAUCUGCCUCACUGAUUGGAGAAGCCGAUGAUCCUUGACCAGACUGAAGAGCAGGGGAAGCACAAUGCCCGUGCUCCUGGUGGUGCUGCCAGCCCUGUCCCUUCCUCCUGCUCCAGCCCUGAACUGGUGGAGCAGCAGCAAGAAGGAGCAGCUCACCCUGCCUGUUCACCAGCACUGCAGCAUCCCAUUGGAGAAGAGGGUUUUCCCUAUGCUGGCCACCCACUUCUGCUUGCACGGGAAACACCAACCCAUGGCAUUGCACAGGCAAUCAGCCAUGGCAUUCACCUCCACCUCUUGGACCCUCAGCAGCCAGACAUGACCUUGAUAUCGCUUUCCCUGCCUGGAACAUGUUUGAACAUUGGCCAGGGGAUGCUAAGGAAAUCAUCAGAGGUACCAACCCCACAUCAAGCAAAGGG